CCGCCGGCGACCGGCGCACGGGUGAGUAACACGUAUGCAACCUGGCCGUGACAGAUGGAUAACCGGGAGAAAUCCCGCCUAAUACAACAUAAUGCCGGGAGGGGACAUCCCCUGCCGGCCAAAGGGGGCGACCCCGGUCACGGAUGGGCAUGCGGCGCAUUAGGUAGUUGGUGGGGCAACGGCCCACCAAGCCGACGAUGCGUAGGGGUUCUGAGAGGAAGGUCCCCCACAUUGGAACUGGGACACGGGCCAGACUCCUACGGAAGGCAGCAG
rnacentral:rRNA from 1 species